CCGCGAUUCGCCCUUCGGGGUGCGCAGGCGCGAAAACUUCACAAUGGGGGCAACCCCGAUGAGGGAAUUCCAAGUGCUAGCACUUUUUGUGUUAGCUGUUCUCCUGUCUAAAAAACAGGAGAAGUAAGGGCCGGGUAAGACGGGUGCCAGCCGCCGCGGUAAUACCCGCGGCCCGAGUGGUGGUCGAUAUUAUUGAGCCUAAAACGUUCGUAGCCGGUCUUGUAAAUCCUUGGGUAAAUCGGCCAGCUUAACUGUCCGAAGUCCGGGGAGACUGCAAGACUUGGGAUCGGGAGAGGUCAGAGGUACUUCUGGGGUAGGGGUAAAAUCCUGUAAUCCUAGAAGGACCACCGGUGGCGAAGGCGUCUGACUAGAACGAAUUCGACGGUGAGGAACGAAGCCCUGGGGCGCAAACGGGAUUAGAUACCCCGGUAGUCCAGGGUGUAAACGCUGCGGGCUUGGUGUUGGGGGUCCUUAGUGGGCGCCCAGUGCCGGAGAGAAGUUGUUAAGCCUGCUGCUUGGGGAGUACGUCCGCAAGGAUGAAACUUAAAGGAAUUGGCGGGGGAGCAC
rnacentral:rRNA from 1 species